UACGUAGGGUGCGAGCGUUGUCCGGAAUUAUUGGGCGUAAAGAGCUCGUAGGCGGUUUGUCACGUCUGCUGUGAAAUCCCGAGGCUCAACCUCGGGCCUGCAGUGGGUACGGGCAGACUGGAGUGCGGUAGGGGAGAUUGGAAUUCCUGGUGUAGCGGUGGAAUGCGCAGAUAUCAGGAGGAACACCGAUGGCGAAGGCAGAUCUCUGGGCCGGUAACUGACGCUGAGGAGCGAAAGCGUGGGGAGCAAACAGG
rnacentral:rRNA from 1 species